rnacentral:rRNA from 1 species
AUUGAACGCUGGCGGCGUGCCUUACACAUGCAAGUCGAACGGCAGCACGGGUGCUUGCCCCUGGUGGCGUGUGCCGCACGGGUGAGUAAUACAUCGGAACAUGUCCUGUAGUGGGGGGUAGUCCGUCGGAAGCCCCAGUGCUACUGCAUACGAAUUUCGUAUACCACCGGGGUCCCUACUGGACUCCGGCUUUACGGUUAGCCGUUGGCGGAUUAGCUCGUUGGUGGGGUAAAGGCCUACCAAGGCAACGAUAAGUAGCUGGUCUGAGAGGGUGAUCAGCCACACUGGAACUGAGACACGGCCCAGACUCCUACGGGAGGCAGCAGUGGGGAAUUUUGGACAAUGGGCGAAAGCCUGAUCGAGCAAUGCCGCGUGUGUGAAGAAGGCCUUCGGGUUGUAAAGCACUUUUGUCCGGAAAGAAAAAAUGGGCUCUAAUCCAUUCGCGGGAUGACGGUACCGAAUGAAUAAGCACCGGCUAACUACGUG